AAAUAUUAAUCCGACAAAGUGGAUUACGCUUUGAAAUUGUGUUCAAACCAAAGAUACUGUCCGUAUUUGGAUUGCUUGUUAAGCAGUACGUGUGGCUAGUCUAAGAGUCUCCGAGAAAAACUCAUAUUCGACGAGUCUCUGGCAAGUUUUGUAUGAGAAUUAAGCGAUGAAAGUGAUAACCACAAUUUUCUUGUGCAUCUUUUUGUUGUCUUUUAUCAUCCGUGAUGUGCUUUGUGCGAGCAUUCCUGUCACGGCGUCACCAAGACCGCCAAUGCCAAAGGGUUUUGGAACGGCGAAACGUGCCAUCAUCAUCGGUAUAGAUGGCUUGGGAGGUUCGUAUUUGAGAAAUGUAACCGAGCAUUACCACACAUUUAGAUCAUUCUUUGAACAAGGUUCCUACACAACCCGUGCAAGAG